CCUACGGGGGGCAGCAGUGGGGAAUAUUGCACAAUGGGGGAAACCCUGAUGCAGCGACGCCGCGUGAGCGAAGAAGUAUUUCGGUAUGUAAAGCUCUAUCAGCAGGGAAGAAAAUGACGGUACCUGACUAAGAAGCCCCGGCUAAAUACGUGCCAGCAGCCGCGGUAAUACGUAUGGGGCAAGCGUUAUCCGGAUUUACUGGGUGUAAAGGGAGCGUAGACGGCAGCGCAAGUCUGGAGUGAAAUGCCGGGGCCCAACCCCGGAACUGCUUUGGAAACUGUGCAGCUCGAGUGCAGGAGAGGUAA
rnacentral:rRNA from 1 species